rfam:Anopheles darlingi isolate Northern mitochondrion, complete genome.
GAUUAAAUGGCUGAAGUUUAGGCAAUAAAUUGUAAAUUUAUUUAUGGGAUUUAUCUCUUUAAUCA